AAAGAAACCAACCGGGAUUGCCUCAGUAACGGCGAGUGAAGCGGCAAGAGCUCAAAUUUGAAAGCUGGCUCCUUCGGGGUCCGCAUUGUAAUUUGCAGAGGAUGCUUCGGGUGCAGCCCCCGUCUAAGUGCCCUGGAACGGGCCGUCAUAGAGGGUGAGAAUCCCGUAUGGGGCGGGGUGUCUGCGUCCGUGUGAAGCUCCUUCGACGAGUCGAGUUGUUUGGGAAUGCAGCUCUAAAUGGGUGGUAAAUUUCAUCUAAAGCUAAAUACUGGCCGGAGACCGAUAGCGCACAAGUAGAGUGAUCGAAAGAUGAAAAGCACUUUGAAAAGAGAGUUAAACAGCACGUGAAAUUGUUGAAAGGGAAGCGCUUGCAACCAGACUCGCUCGCGGGGUUCAGCCGGGCUUCGGCCCGGUGUACUUCCCCGCGGGCGGGCCAGCGUCGGUUUGGGCGGCCGGUCAAAGGCCUCCGGAAUGUAGCGCCCUUCGGGGCGCCUUAUAGCCGGAGGUGCAAUGCGGCCAGCCUGGACCGAGGAACGCGCUUCGGCACGGACGCUGGCAUAAUGGUUGUAAACGAC
rnacentral:rRNA from 2 species